AACGAACGCUGGCGGCAGGCUUAACACAUGCAAGUCGAACGCCCCGCAAGGGGAGUGGCAGACGGGUGAGAAACGCGUGGGAAUCUACCCAGAUCUUCGGAACAACUGAGGGAAACUUCAGCUAAUACCGGAUACGCUCUACGGGGGAAAGAUUUAUCGGUUCUGGAUGAGCCCGCGUUGGAUUAGCUAGUUGGUGAGGUAACGGCUCACCAAGGCGACGAUCCAUAGCUGGUCUGAGAGGAUGAUCAGCCACACUGGGACUGAGACACGGCCCAGACUCCUACGGGAGGCAGCAGUGGGGAAUAUUGGACAAUGGGCGAAAGCCUGAUCCAUCCAUGCCGCGUGAGUGAUGAAGGCCUUAGGGUUGUAAAGCUCUUUCAGUGGGGAAGAUAAUGACGGUACCCACAGAAGAAGCCCCGGCUAACUUCGUGCCAGCAGCCGCCGUAA
rnacentral:rRNA from 1 species